UGUUCAGGAGGAUCUGGGUCGGCAGCAUCGGCAGGAAGGGCAGGAACGCGGCCGCGCCGGCCAUGCUGAACAUGUUUCCGAAGUUGCUGCUCGUGCCCAUCAGCAGGUACUUCAUGACGUUGCCGAAGGCCAUCCGCCCCUCGAGCAC
rnacentral:misc_RNA from 1 species